rnacentral:ribozyme from 1 species
UUUUACAUUUAUAUUUAUUGUCCAAUGUGAAAAGUGAAAAGUAUGAAAUGAAAUUUGGAAUCAGGGCAUUACAUACAGCUUUAUCUUCUUACUUUGAUCUUGUUGCCUCUUCUUCUUCUUUGGACAAAGAAGAACUAGAAGAAUUAGAUGAAAUCAUG